rnacentral:tRNA from 1 species
GCCGGGGUGGCGGAAUUGGUAGACGCAGUGGAUUCAAAAUCCACCGGUGGCAACACCUUGGGGGUUCAAGUCCCCCUCCCGGUACCA